GCAAGUAUGAAAGACGGUUGCGAGUCUAUAAGACUCGAGGAAAGUCCGAGCUCCAUAGGGCAGGAUGCCAGAUAACGUCUGGCGAGGGUAACCUUAGGGAAAGUGCCAUAGAAAAGGAAACCGCCACGUAGGUCCCGCCUACCUUCCGGGUUGUGUCGCUCGAGCGUGCAGGCGACUGUACGCCUAGAAAGAUAAUCGUCACCGCGCAAGCGGAACAGAACUCGGCUUAUUGAUUGCUUGCUUCU
rnacentral:RNase_P_RNA from 1 species